UGUCGUCAGCUCGUGUCGUGAGAUGUUGGGUUAAGUCCCGCAACGAGCGCAACCCUUAUUGUUAGUUGCCAGCAUUUAGUUGGGCACUCUAGCAAGACUGCCGGUGACAAACCGGAGGAAGGCGGGGAUGACGUCAAAUCAUCAUGCCCCUUAUGACCUGGGCUACACACGUGCUACAAUGGCAAGUACAACGAGUCGCCAACCCGCGAGGGUGCGCAAAUCUCUUAAAGCUUGUCUCAGUUCGGACUGUAGGCUGCAACUCGCCUACACGAAGUCGGAAUCGCUAGUAAUCGCGGAUCAGCACGCCGCGGUGAAUACGUUCCCGGG
rnacentral:rRNA from 1 species